AUUGAACGCUGGCGGUAUGCCUUACACAUGCAAGUCGAACGGUAACGGGUCCUUCGGGAUGCCGACGAGUGGCGAACGGGUGAGUAAUAUAUCGGAACGUGCCCAGUAGUGGGGGAUAACUGCUCGAAAGAGCAGCUAAUACCGCAUACGACCUGAGGGUGAAAGGGGGGGAUCGCAAGACCUCUCGCUAUUGGAGCGGCCGAUAUCAGAUUAGCUAGUUGGUGGGGUAAAGGCCUACCAAGGCAACGAUCUGUAGUUGGUCUGAGAGGACGACGAGACACACGGGGACUGAGACACGGCCCAGACUCCUACGGGAGGCAGCAGUGGGGAAUUUUGGACAAUGGGCGCAAGCCCGAUCCAGCAAUGCCGCGUGCAGGAAGAAGGCCUUCGGGUUGUAAACUGCUUUUGUCAGGGAAGAAAUCUUCUGGGCUAAUACCCCGGGAGGAUGACGGUACCUGAAGAAUAAGCACCGGCUAACUACGUGCCAGCCGCCGCCGUAA
rnacentral:rRNA from 1 species